CACCGCGGUUAUACGAGAGGCCCGAGUUGACGAUUACCGGCGUAAAAUGUGGUUAUUACAGUAUUUCACUAAAGCUAAACAUCUUCAAAGCUGUUAUAUGCUCUCGAAGACAGGAAAAUCUCCCACGAAAGUGGCUUUAAUAUCUAUGUACCACGAAAGCUAGGAAACAAACUGGGAUUAGAUACCCCACUAUGCCUAGCCCUAAACAAAGGUGAAAUUCUUACACCUAUCGCCUGCCCGGGAACUACGAGCCCCAGCUUAAAACCCAAAGGACUUGGCGGUGCUUCACACCCCCCUAGAGGAGCCUGUUCUAGAACCGAUAAUCCCCGUUAAACCUCACCCUCUCUUGUUUUCCCCGCCUAUAUACCGCCGUCGUCAGCUCACCCUAUGAAGGAUAAAUAGUGAGCAUAAUUGGUAAUACCUAAAACGCCAGGUCGAGGUGUAGCGUACGAGAGGGGAAGAAAUGGGCUACAUUCACUGAAUCAGUGAACCACGGAAGAUAGCUUGAAACAACCAUCUAAAGGAGGAUUUAGCAGUAAGGAGGGAAAUAGAGCGUCCCCCUGAAAUCGGCCCUGAAGCGCGCACACACCGCCCGUCACUCUCCCCAAAACAAACACAAAACCAUAAAUAAUAAGACCCCUAGAUAAAGGGGAGGCAAGUCGUAA
rnacentral:rRNA from 1 species